rnacentral:rRNA from 1 species
CCGGUGCUUGCACCGGGGAUUAGUGGCGAACGGGUGAGUAACACGUGAGUAACCUGCCCUUGACUCUGGGAUAAGCCUGGGAAACUGGGUCUAAUACCGGAUAUGACUCCUCAUCGCAUGGUGGGGGGUGGAAAGCUUUUGUGGUUUUGGAUGGACUCGCGGCCUAUCAGCUUGUUGGUGAGGUAAUGGCUCACCAAGGCGACGACGGGUAGCCGGCCUGAGAGGGUGACCGGCCACACUGGGACUGAGACACGGCCCAGACUCCUACGGGAGGCAGCAGUGGGGAAUAUUGCACAAUGGGCGCAAGCCUGAUGCAGCGACGCCGCGUGAGGGAUGACGGCCUUCGGGUUGUAAACCUCUUUCAGUAGGGAAGAAGCGAAAGUGACGGUACCUGCAGAAGAAGCGCCGGCUAACUACGUGCCAGCAGCCGCGGUAAUACGUAGGGCGCAAGCGUUAUCCGGAAUUAUUGGGCGUAAAGAGCUCGUAGGCGGUUUGUCGCGUCUGCCGUGAAAGUCCGGGGCUCAACUCCGGAUCUGCGGUGGGUACGGGCAGGCUAGAGUGAUGUAGGGGAGACUGGAAUUCCUGGUGUAGCGGUGAAAUGCGCAGAUAUCAGGAGGAACACCGAUGGCGAAGGCAGGUCUCUGGGCAUUAACUGACGCUGAGGAGCGAAAGCAUGGGGAGCGAACAGGAUUAGAUACCCU